rnacentral:rRNA from 1 species
GAUGAACGCUGGCGGCGUGCCUAAUACAUGCAAGUCGAGCGAACAGACGAGGAGCUUGCUCCUCUGACGUUAGCGGCGGACGGGUGAGUAACACGUGGAUAACCUACCUAUAAGACUGGGAUAACUUCGGGAAACCGGAGCUAAUACCGGAUAAUAUAUUGAACCGCAUGGUUCAAUAGUGAAAGACGGUUUUGCUGUCACUUAUAGAUGGAUCCGCGCCGCAUUAGCUAGUUGGUAAGGUAACGGCUUACCAAGGCGACGAUGCGUAGCCGACCUGAGAGGGGGAUUCGCCACACCGGAACCGAGACACGGGCCAGACUCCUACGGGGGGCAGCAGUAGGGAAUCUUCCGGCAAGGGCCAAAGCCUGACGGGGCAACGCCGCGGGAGUGAUUAAGGUUCUCGGAUCGGAAAACUCUGUUAAUUGGGAAGAACAAAUUGUUAAGUAACUAUGCACGUCUUGAUGGUACCUAAUCAGAAAGCCACGGCUAACUACGUG